rnacentral:rRNA from 1 species
UACGGGGGGGGCAAGCGUUGUUCGGAAUUACUGGGCGUAAAGGGCUCGUAGGCGGCCAACUAAGUCGGAUGUGAAAUCCCCAGGCUUAACCUGGGAACUGCAUCCGAUACUGGAUGGCUUGAAUUCGGGAGAGGGAUGCAGAAUUCCAGGUGUAGCGGUGAAAUGCGUAGAUAUCUGGAGGAACACCGGUGGCGAAGGCGGCAUCCUGGACCAACACUGACGCUGAGACGCGAAAGCGUGGGGAGCGAACCGG